rnacentral:rRNA from 1 species
GAUGAACGCUGACAGAAUGCUUAACACAUGCAAGUCUACUUGAAUUUGGGUUUUUUAACUUAGAUUUGGGUGGCGGACGGGUGAGUAACGCGUAAAGAACUUGCCUCACAGCUAGGGACAACAUUUGGAAACGAAUGCUAAUACCUGAUAUUAUGAUUAUAAGGCAUCUUAGAAUUAUGAAAGCUAUAUGCGCUGUGAGAGAGCUUUGCGUCCCAUUAGCUAGUUGGCGAGGUAACGGCUCACCAAGGCGAGGAUGGGUAGCCGGACUGAGAGGGUGAACGGCCACAAGGGGACUGAGACACGGCCCUUACUCCUACGGGAGGAAGCAGUGGGGAAUAGUGGACAAUGGACCAAGAGUCUGAUCCAGCAAUUCUGUGUGCACGAUGACGUUUUUCGGAAUGUAAAGUGCUUUCAGUUGGGAAGAAAAAAAUGACGGUACCAACAGAAGAAGUGACGGCUAAAUACGUG